AACGAACGCUGGCGGCAUGCCUAACACAUGCAAGUCGAACGAGACCUUCGGGUCUAGUGGCGCACGGGUGCGUAACGCGUGGGAAUCUGCCCUUGGGUUCGGGAUAACAGUUGGAAACGACUGCUAAUACCGGAUGAUGACUUCGGUCCAAAGAUUUAUCGCCCAGGGAUGGGCCCGCGUCGGAUUAGCUAGUUGGUGAGGUAAGAGCUCACCAAGGCGACGAUCCGUAGCUGGUCUGAGAGGAUGAUCAGCCACACUGGGACUGAGACACGGCCCAGACUCCUACGGGAGGCAGCAGUGGGGAAUAUUGGACAAUGGGCGAAAGCCUGAUCCAGCAAUGCCGCGUGAGUGAUGAAGGCCUUAGGGUUGUAAAGCUCUUUUACCCGGGAUGAUAAUGACAGUACCGGGAGAAUAAGCCCCGGCUAACUCCGUG
rnacentral:rRNA from 1 species